rnacentral:lncRNA from 1 species
UAUAGCCUAAGGUGCUGAAAAGUAAGCUACACAAAAUUCAAAAACUCCCUCCUAAAAAGCUUCUAGAAUUUGCGCCUAAAACAAAGCAUGAGGAAGGUGUGAUCCCUUCUCUCACUUUGGCACCUCCUUAUUUACUCCUACACCUAUCUACUAAUACACCCCCCCUCCUAAAGCUCCUAACUAAAGCCUAAAAGAUGCUAAAACAAAAGAGGUUUCUAAUGUUUCCCUCUAAGCACCUUCAACUAAAGAAAUUACAAAAAGAGAAAAUAAAUGUCCUCUAGCUCCCAAAGCUUUGAACAUGCUUCUUGUAAUCCUUUGAGGUGGACUUUGACCUCCAUGGGCG